AGAGAGAACGAAACUCAGUUCUCUUUCAUCCUCUCACAGCCGCAACUCAAAUCCUUCUCUAACUCAUUUCUCUUAGGGUUUGAUAAUCAUGUCUAAUAAAAUACCAAAAUUUUAUUUUCUGUGUCACUAGAAAUAGAAGUGUAGGUGGUUAAUCAGGAAGUAGAAGAAGACAUGGGUUUGAAUCUGAACAAUCUUAGACUAGUGAAUCUCACAGUAUUGUUGUUGAAUAAAUAUUUACAAUAUCUUGUUUGAAGGAAUACGAUACAGGAUUCGAAAGGGUCUUUGCCAAUUUUCAGAAAUGGAGAUCUAAGAAUAGUUCCUGUUGCAGAUGAUGAGAUUAUGGAGGUUGAUGACUAUGAAUUCCCUGAUUAAAUCUCUUACUUCUGAUGUAGAAGAAUUUUUCAUGCAGUUGGAUCCUGGUUGUAGGGUUACUAUUGCACUCGAUGGCUAUGUUUGUUGAACCUGAUAAUGAUCCUCCUUAUAACUCAUAAGGUCGAAGGAGAACAAUACUGUGAAAGCAUUGCAGUGAAGGCGCAAAUUUGAGAAAAAUGCAUUGGAACACCAAGUGGUUAUUGAGUAGAAAUGUAACCAAGUACGAAGACGUGGAUUAGUUUAAUGCUCGUAUUCGGGUUCGUAAAUUUUAGGAAUGUUGAAGGCGAGGAAGAUAUCUGGGUUCGUAAAUUUCAAGUCGUUACUACUGAAUAUUUACACGAGGCGCCUGAUUUUGAUACAGGAUUCAAACUCUGCUACUUCUCCUGGUAGUGAUUCUGAUCAUGCUAGAGCUUCAUUUCCAGCGAGAGCAAAAAAGGAGUUGAUGGGUUCUGGGAGAAGCAUUAUUUGACCAUUAACAAAAUGGUGUAGGUGAUCUAAAUGAUGCAAAUCAACUUGUUAGUGGACUUGAUCAGGUUGAGCAGUGUUCUCUGCCUAAGCUACCUUCCAUUUGAGGUGGAUAGCCGACAAGAUGUGCAGGUACACCAUUAUGAAAUUUGGCCUAAGUUCAUCAUCAGCGGAGUUUAUCGGAUUGCUCUUUAGUCAAUCGUUUAUUAGUUUAUCAUUAUGUAACUGAAUCUUAGAAUUUGAUUACUUUUCUGGUUGUAAGAACUUAUAUUGGUCUGAACUUAAGAUUGUAUACCUUUCUUGUGUAA